GAGGGUAUAGUUCAGUGGUAGAGUGUGUGCUUAGCAUGCACAAGGUCCUGGUUUUAACCCCCAGUACCUCCA
rnacentral:tRNA from 1 species